AGUAUUGUACUAUGGGGGCAACCCUGAUCCAGCCAUGCCGCGUGUGUGAAGAAGGUCUUCGGAUUGUAAAGCACCAUAGGUUGGGAGGAAGGGCAGUAAGUUAAUACCUUGCUGUUUUGACGUUACCGACAGAAUAAGCACCGGCUAACUUCAUGCCAGCAGCCGCGGUAAUACGAAGGGUGCAAGCGUUAAUCGGAAUUACUGGGAGUAAAGCGCGCGUAGGUGGUUUGUCAAGUUGGCAGUGAAAGCCCCGGGCUCAACCUGGGAACUGCUUUCAAAACUGGCAAGCUAGAGUAUGGCAGAAGGUGGUGGAAUUUCCUGUGUAGCGGUGAAAUGCGUAGAUAUAGGAAGGAACACCAGUGGCGAAGGCGACUACCUGGACUGAUACUGACAAUGAGGUGCGAAAGCGUGGGGAGCAAAC
rnacentral:rRNA from 1 species